rnacentral:lncRNA from 1 species
CAGGCAUGAAAGAGCCCAGAGCUCGUCGCUGGGGAAAGGCUGCGUAUGGCGUUGUGAAGGGAGAGGUGGAGGAGGGCUUUGAGCAGCACUGUGCAGGAAUGAUCGGCUGGCAGGAGCUGGGCAGCGGUACUGCAGCUCGUCUGGCAGCUUUGCAGCUGAGUUUGGAAGUAGAAGAUGUGGCUGUGAAAGAAGAAGUAACCGCAAUCGUAACAGCCAUAGAGCUGGAGGGGGCCUUUAAAGGCCAUCUCGUCCAACAGCCCCGCAACAAAGAGGGACACCGCAGCUCCAGCAGGCUGUCCAGGGCCUGGUCCAGCCUGGCCCUCAAAGGCUCCCCGUGCUCCAACCCCGCAUUUCCUGCCGAGCCCUGCCGUAAGGAACUCCUGGCACCCACGGAAAAGCC